rnacentral:rRNA from 1 species
GACGAACGCUGGCGGCGUGCUUAACACAUGCAAGUCGAGCGGUAAGGCCCUUUCGGGGGUACACGAGCGGCGAACGGGUGAGUAACACGUGGGUGACCUGCCCGUCAGCUCUGGGAUAAGCCUGGGAAACCGGGUCUAAUACUGGAGUAUGACUCCAUGACGCAUGUUGUGGGGUGGAAAGCCUUGUGCGGCUGAGGNUGGGCUCGCGGCCCUAUCAGCUUGUUGGUGGGGUGAUGGCCUACCAAGGCGACGAC